AGCGAACGCUGGCGGCAGGCCUAAUACAUGCAAGUCGAGCACACCUUCGGGUGAGCGGCGGACGGGUGAGUAACGCGUGGGAACGUGCCCUUUGGUACGGGAUAACUGAGGGAAACUUCAGCUAAUACCGUAUGUGCCCUAUGGGGGAAAGAUUUAUCGCCAUUGGAGCGGCCCGCGUUGGAUUAGGUAGUUGGUGAGGUAAAGGCUCACCAAGCCUACGAUCCAUAGCUGGUCUGAGAGGAUGAUCAGCCACACUGGGGCUGAGACACGGCCCAGACUCCUACGGGAGGCAGCAGUAGGGAAUCUUGCGCAAUGGGCGAAAGCCUGACGCAGCCAUGCCGCGUGAAUGAUGAAGGUCUUAGGAUUGUAAAAUUCUUUCACCGGGGAAGAUAAUGACGGUACCCGGAGAAGAAGCCCCGGCUAACUUCGUGCCAGCAGCCGCAGUAAAAC
rnacentral:rRNA from 1 species